rnacentral:misc_RNA from 1 species
UGUUCUUUGUCGAACGAUUUGAUCGUUGUGGUGCAAGUGUUUAACGUAUCAUUUUCGUUGGAAUUCGACAUAAAAUGAGAGGCAGCUGCACUCGAGUUUGCCACCGAUGCUGGACUUCUUCCAAGGGAGGAUGAGGCACCACCUUGCCCCAAGUGCCAGGUACCGAUGACAAGCAACAAGAGAAGAGAAUCAAAAAUUGGCUGGAGAUGGAUGUGCUCGUUACAAUGUUAUGUUGUUAGUGCAUAACUGAGUAGCAUAGUGAUCAGCAAGUGACUCAGAUUCGGUGUAGGCAAUUUAGGGGCGGAAUGGUUGUGUAGCAUCUCGUAAGCUUAUUAGUGGCUUUCCAGAUGUUAUUAUCUUCUGGCGAGAGUGAAGACAGAGUCAGAACCGAUUCACUAAACCUCUAGACUGACCAAGGCAACCACCGUGGGCGAAAGACGUUCCGUCAUGAGCUCCCAACCCGAUGAAGUUAACACCGCGAAGCCGGAAGCAAUGGCCGGCAACCCCGUUCUUAAUGCGAUGGAUACAUCAUCACCGCAUCUCUCAACAAUUUCAUCAUCAUCUUCAGCCGUUCCUGAAUCUCUUUCUAGUAUUCCUGUUCCGGAUCCCAAAUUCGUUCCGGUUCCUGAUCCAGACACCCUCAUCAUCGAGCUCAAGCAAUUAUACCAGCUGAAAGCCAGAUUCACUGACUUGGAACAGACACUUGCCAGAAGCAAGAGAUCCACUCCUUUGGCUAACUUUAAUCUGAAGCAAGUACAGCAGGAAAGCCAGGAGGAAGAAUGUAUAGAGCAGCCCUCUCCUGUCAUUAGCCAGGAUGUCAUUUCCAGCCUAUCACUUCCAGAAGCUCCAAAUGUGAGUGAGCCCUCUCCGACUCCUCCAACAAGCAUCAAGUCAGGUGAAAGAAAGAAACGCAAAAGGGAGGACAGUGAAACACAGGACUUCCUUUCCACUUUUCAAAGUGCAGGAAGCAAAAAAAAAAAAAAAAAA